UGCCAGCAGCCGCGGUAAGACAGAGGGUGCAAACGUUGUUCGGAAUUACUGGGCAUAAAGAGCACGUAGGCGGCUCGUCUAGUUACGCGUGAAAUCCCCCGGCUCAACCGGGGAACUGCGUGUGAUACUGGCGGGCUUGAGGUCGGUAGGGGUGAGCGGAACUCCAGGUGGAGCGGUGAAAUGCGUAGAUAUCUGGAGGAACACCGGUGGCGAAGGCGGCUCACUGGACAACUCCUGACACUGAGGCACGAAAGCUAGGGGAGCAAACAGGAUUAGAUA
rnacentral:rRNA from 1 species